ensembl:lncRNA MUC20-OT1 MUC20 overlapping transcript
CACCGCUGCAAGAGGGGAAGUUGCUACUGUGAUGAAUUCUGCCAUGUGGCACCAGACUGCCACCCAGACCACAGUGUCCUCUGCAACCCUGCUUCUCAGAUGACCAAGAUGGUGCUGCAGAUGGUGCUGAGGAUGGAGAACCCACCAAGCCCCGCUAGGAGCCACCUAGACUGGAUGCAGAGCAUGGACAAUUUGCUGAGGUCUGGGAGCACCCCCUCCAGAGAGUCCCUGAUCUCUCAAAACUUGGUCGUGAUCUAAAGUUUAUUUGAUGUACAACUCCCCCUCCCCUUCUUUUGGAGUUUUAUUUGCUUCCAAGAAGGAAGGCAAGAUUUCCUGGGUCCGUGAUGAUGGAAGGCUGACAACUCUUUUAUGGAGUUUGAGCUUGCUCCCAGCAGGGAAGACAAGUUCGAGUUUUUUUCCUGCUUCAAGGAUGGUAGAGAGCAGUCUUCAGCCUGAGACCCAUCCCUAGAGAAGGCUUCCAAUGACUCGAGCCCCUUUAAAGGAUCCGGAACAAAGGGGCCACUCACCCCUUCCAGGGUGCU